GGCAGGGUAGUUUAGUGGAAAAACUCCAGACCCUCACUCUGGCAUACAGCGGUUCGAUUCCGCUUCCUGCUU
rnacentral:tRNA from 1 species